CGUAGGGUGACCUGCGGAGGGAUCAUUACCGAGUUUACAACUCCCAAACCCCUGUGAACAUACCUUAAUGUUGCCUCGGCGGAUCAGCCCGCGCCCCGUAAAACGGGACGGCCCGCCAGAGGACCCAAACUCUAAUGUUUCUUAUUGUAACUUCUGAGUAAAACAAACAAAUAAAUCAAAACUUUCAACAACGGAUCUCUUGGUUCUGGCAUCGAUGAAGAACGCAGCAAAAUGCGAUAAGUAAUGUGAAUUGCAGAAUUCAGUGAAUCAUCGAAUCUUUGAACGCACAUUGCGCCCGCUGGUAUUCCGGCGGGCAUGCCUGUUCGAGCGUCAUUUCAACCCUCAAGCCCCCGGGUUUGGUGUUGGGGAUCGGCUCUGCCCUUCUGGGCGGUGCCGCCCCCGAAAUACAUUGGCGGUCUCGCUGCAGCCUCCAUUGCGUAGUAGCUAACACCUCGCAACUGGAACGCGGCGCGGCCAUGCCGUAAAACCCCAACUUCUGAAUGUUGACCUCGGAUCAGGUAGGAAUACCCGCUGAACUUAAGCAUAUCAAUAAGCGGAGAAAA
rnacentral:rRNA from 1 species